rnacentral:rRNA from 1 species
UACGUAGGGUGCGAGCGUUAAUCGGAAUUACUGGGCGUAAAGCGUGCGCAGGCGGUGAUGUAAGACAGGUGUGAAAUCCCCGGGCUUAACCUGGGAACUGCAUUUGUGACUGCAUCGCUGGAGUGCGGAAGAGGGGGAUGGAAUUCCGCGUGUAGCAGUGAAAUGCGUAGAUAUGCGGAGGAACACCGAUGGCGAAGGCAAUCCCCUGGGCCUGCACUGACGCUCAUGCACGAAAGCGUGGGGAGCAAACAGG